rnacentral:rRNA from 1 species
CAGUAGCCGCGGGAAUGCGGAGGGUGCAAGCGUUAAUCGGAAUUACUGGGCGCAAAGCGUGCGUAGGCGGUUCGUUAAGUCUGUUGUGAAAGCCCCGGGCUCAACCUGGGAAUGGCAAUGGAUACUGGCGAGCUAGAGUGUGUCAGAGGAUGGUGGAAUUCCCGGUGUAGCGGUGAAAUGCGUAGAGAUCGGGAGGAACAUCAGUGGCGAAGGCGGCCAUCUGGGACAACACUGACGCUGAGGCACGAAAGCGUGGGGAGCAAACAGGAUUAGAUACCCCUGUAGUCCCUGUCUCUUAUAC